UGGGGAAUAUUGGACAAUGGGGGCAACCCUGAUCCAGCGAUGCCGCGUGAGUGAAGAAGGCCUUCGGGUUGUAAAGCUCUUUUAUUCAUGAAGAUAAUGACGGUAGUGAAAGAAUAAGCCCCGGCAAACUUCGUGCCAGCAGCCGCGGUAAUACGAAGGGGGCUAGCGUUGUUCGGAAUUACUGGGCGUAAAGGGCGCGUAGGCGGCUUGACACGUCAGAUGUGAAAGUCCUGGGCUUAACCUGGGGAUUGCAUUUGAUACGGUGAGGCUAGAGGCCGAGAGAGGGUAGUGGAAUUGUGUGUGUAGAGGUGAAAUUCGUAGAUAUACACAAGAACACCGGUGGCGAAGGCGGCUACCUGGCUCGGAACUGACGCUAAGGCGCGAAAGCGUGGGGAGCAAACAGG
rnacentral:rRNA from 1 species